GGGAAAGGGGCGAUUAUGCAGGUCUAUUGGUACUAUCGCAGGUGGUAUCAAAGCAUUUAUUAGACUUAACCAUCUACUGUAUAGCAAUAUAUGGUAAGGCGAAUCUAGAUAACUUUGCUGAUCGUAUGGUCUUGUACCGACGACGUUUCAAUUGAGUUUCUGCCCUAUCAAUUUGUUGGUAAGGUAUUGGCUUACCAAGGUUGCAACGGGUAACGGGGAAUCAGGGUUCGAUUCCGGAGAGGGAGCCUGAGAAACGGCUACCACAUCCAAGGAAGGCAGCAGGCGCGCAAAUUACCCAAUCUAGACAGUAGGAGGUGGUGAAGAGAAGUACUGAGUGGUUGGCGAAUGCUUACCAACUUGGAAUGAACGUAAUUUAAGCAAUUCGAUGAGUAACUACUGGAGGGCAAGUCCUGGUGCCAGCAGCCGCGGUAAUUCCAGCUCCAGUGGCGUGAUUUAAAGUUGCUGCGUUUAAAACGCUCGUAGUUGGAUCACGCAGUAGUAAUAAGUUGUUUGAAUGCGGAUAAUGUAGACGAUUUUCCAAGCGAUUAUUGAAUACUUGUCGGUUCAAACGUUUAUGCUUUUUGCUACUAUUUGCACACAAGUAUGGCAUUUGGCCUUUAGUGAGUCGAGUGUCAUGUCUUGUGGAGUGUGCCUUGAAUAAAACAGAGUGCUCAAAGCAGGCGUACGCUUGAAUGUUAUAGCAUGGAACGAACAAACGUGUAUUUGCGUAUAUUUUUUAAUUGUUGAGGGCAACUUUGACUUUUAAUAAUAUAUGCAGCACCCGCCAAAAUACAAAUGUUGGUUUUUGUAUUAGGUGAUGAUUAACAGGAGCGGUUGGGGGCAUUGGUAUUUGGCCGCGAGAGGGAAAUUCUUAGACCGGCCAAGGACUAACAGAUGCGAAGGCGUUUGUCUAGACCGUUUCCAUUAAUCAAGAACGAAAGUGAGAGGUUCGAAAACGAUCAAAUACCGUCCUAGUUCCCACUAUAAACUAUGCCGACCUGGGUACAGUUUAGGGAUUUUCAAGCUCUAGGUGGGCCCCCCGGGAAACCUCAAGUUUUUCGGUUACGGGGAAAUUAGGGCCCACAUCUAAAACUUAAAGGAAUUGUCGGAAGGGCUCCCCCAAGGGGGGAGCCACGUGGUUAAUUUUUUCUUGUCUUUGAAGAUACCGUGUUUUAUUUUUUUG
rnacentral:rRNA from 1 species